GAUGGGUAAAAGCUUCAAACUGAGAGAUUUUUAGGAGGGAUAUUGGGAAGGAAUUAUUCCCUGUGAGUGUCCAAGGCCAGGCUGGACAGGGCAGCCUGGGAUAGUGGAAGGUAUCCCUGAAAUGUAAAUUUACCCUCAGAAUCAUCAAUUUUUAUUCCCACCUCCUUUGCCUGUUGCAGGACUCCAGGACAAACAUAAACCUUUUCCUUUCCUUUUUCCUCACUGGUGCCUCUGAACCAGAGCAUUGGACACCGGGACAAUGCGGGAUUCAAAACAUUCCAUGAGCUUGGAAUUGUUUGUGGCACACAGGACAGGAGAAGCUCCUUAACACCCACGGGGCCUGGCCAAAACAAAACUUGCAAGUCAGGCUGAGAAAGGCUUGAGAUGAUGAGAAACUCUUUGGGAUAAAUAUUUGGACAACAUCCAGCAUGGUGGGACCUGCUCUGGAUUGGAGCAUUGAAAACAAACUCCACAACAACAACCCUGUGCAACACAUGGAAAAUUAUGGGAUUGUUGAUGGUUUAAAGUGUUUCACAUUUUUGGAGUAACAGAGCUGUAUCAUGAGAGAAGACAACCACAUCCUCUGUGUGUCCUUGCAGGAUUUCAUUGUUUGACUGGUGACAAGCAGAGCAAUUAAAACUGAAGGUAAAUUCUUUGCUCUGAGUCAUAUUGUGCAAAUAUUUUCCCUUUUGGGGUUGAGCUACUCUGGGUUUAAGCUCCGCCAGAAGCCUGGAUUAUGAUUUUGUUAUGUGUGCUGAUGGUUUAAUGUUGUGAGAGAAGG
rnacentral:lncRNA from 1 species